rnacentral:rRNA from 1 species
CCAAUAGCGUAUAUUAAAGUUGUUGCAGUUAAAAAGCUCGUAGUUGAAUUUCGGGGCCAGUAGGUUGGUCGUGCCACUGGUAUGCACUGGCUUUACUGGUCCCUCCUUCUUGUAGAACCGUGAUGGCAUUAAUUUGUUGUUGCGGGGAAACAGGACUGUUACUUUGAAAAAAUUAGAGUGCUUAAAGCAGGCUCGCGCUUGAAUACAUUAGCAUGGAAUAACGAAAUAGGACAAUCGAACCUAUUUUGUUGGUUUCUAGGAUCGACGUAAUGAUUAAUAGGGAUAGUUGGGGGCAUUAGUAUUCAAUUGUCUGAGGUGAAAUUCUUGGAUUUAUUGAAGACUAACUACUGCGAAAGCAUUUGCCAAGGAUGUUUUCAUUAAUCAAGAACGAAAGUUAGGGGAUCGAAGACGAUCAGAUACCGUCGUAGUCUUAACCAUAAACUAUGCCGACUAGGGAUCGGAUGAAGUUAAUUUUUUAAUGACUCAUUCGGCACCUUACG